CUCGCCUGCACGAAGUCGGAAUUGCUAGUAAUCGUAGGUCAGCAUACUACGGUGAAUACGUUCCCGGGCCUUGUACACACCGCCCGUCAAACCAUGAGAGUUGGCAACACCCGAAGUCGGUAGUCUAACCGCAAGGAGGACGCCGCCGAAGGUGGGGUUGAUGAUUAGGGUUAAGUCGUAACAAGGUAUC
rnacentral:rRNA from 1 species